UACGUAGGGGGCAAGCGUUGUCCGGAUUUAUUGGGCGUAAAGAGCGUGUAGGCGGUUUGGUAGGUCCGUUGUGAAAACUCGAGGCUCAACCUCGAGACGCCGGCGGAAACCAUCAGGCUAGAGUCCGGAAGAGGAGAGUGGAAUUCCCGGUGUAGCGGUGAAAUGCGUAGAGAUCGGGAGGAACAUCAGUGGCGAAGGCGGCCAUCUGGGACAACACUGACGCUGAAGCACGAAAGCGUGGGGAGCAAACAGG
rnacentral:rRNA from 1 species